ensembl:miRNA small nucleolar RNA SNORD125
UUCUGGGAACCUUGGCAGCCCCUCUUGGUGAUUCCUCCUCCUGAGUGGCUCCAAUGAUGAGCAAACUGAGCUUCUAAGAAGUUGACUGAAUGGGCAGCUCUGCC